GGCCCGGCUGAAUUGGUCCGCCUUCGUGGUGUGCACUGUUCUGGCUGGGUCUUUCCUUCUGGGGAGCCAGCGUGCCCUUCACUGGUGUGCGCUGGGGAUCCAGGACUUUUACUUUGAAAAAAUUAGAGUGUUUAAAGCAGGCCUUAUUUGCUUGAAUACAUUAGCAUGGAAUAAUAGAAU
rnacentral:rRNA from 1 species